GGAUUCCUUUCCCUGCUGGGUUCUAGCUGAGGCACUGACCAUUGCUUUUCACUAACAAUUUCUGUCUGUUCCCAAGAGAUGUUUUAAUGAGCCCCUCCGACAUGGCCAAAGGCAAGAAAUGUUCUCUGGGCCAGUGAGCAACACAACGUUAAGUCUGUCACAUUACUCACAAGUAUUGAAUGAAAAACCCGUGCCAAGGUAACCCCCCUCCCCUCCUUCCCCAUCCUCACUAAGGCCCCCCCCCCCGUUCCCUUAUGGAUUUGUUACACGGGCCGACUGUGCUGGAGGCCAAGUUAGGGCUGUGCGCCCAAACCAACAGCAGUCACAACUUGCAUGACCCUCCCCUGGGGCUCAGCAGUGGUAGCCUGCAUCGCAUGCUGUGGUCUCACUCUCCAGUCCUCCUCUAAACAACUUGGCAUUAUCAUCAACUUUCCUGCAUCCAGCAGGACAGGCCAGAGGCUUUAUUAACAAAGAAUAACAGUACCUCGCCACAGGCCAGCCAGCAUGGUGCUGCUUCGAGUUGAAUUUGACUGCAUUGCUAAGCUGGCUAAAAAUGUGACCCAGGAGACCUUCUCCCUGAUUGGACAGCUAGAACUUUGUUUUUUUAGAAGGAAAACAACAAAAAUAAUAUUCUUCCAGCAUGAAUUUUUGGAUUUCUCAAUAUUUAUAGUAAAACUCAUGAAACCUCAGAUUCAUCAUUCAUCUAAAUUGUCUCAAAGAACUAGUAAUUUGACCCUCUGAAUCACAAGAAAGCAAAGCACAUUUUGUAUUUUCAUUCACAAAACGGUUUUUUUUCCCCUUACCUGACCAGCUCUAAUUUUAAGCUAGUCCUUUCUAGUGCAAAUUCCUAUUUAACUUGAAAGGGUUAUUGCCUUAGUAAAGACUUCAGGAUGUAUCAGAGGCAAACCUUCUUGUAUGGGAAAUAAAGAGACCUGGUGCAGGAGAAUCAGUGCAGCUCCACUAUAAGUGGGGUAAAGAGAUAAAGGGAAGGAAAUAAACAGGUUUCUGAUUUGCAUGGUUACCAUGUGCAGUGGUGUAAAAAAGCAGAAGGGGAUGGGUCUUCAGUGACAUGAAGAUGAGAACAGGAGAACCACCAUGGCAUGAGUUAUGUUGGCACCCCUCUAGCAACUCUGCAUAUCUAGACUCAACUAGCUUCCACAGAGCUGUUCUGCAGCCACUGGGCAGCCUGAGGAUAAGCAGACCAUGCAGUCCCUUUACUUAGCCCAUGCAACAGGAGGAUGAAGUUCAGCCCUUGUGAACAAUUAUGCAGUUGCCUAUUUGAAUAUUGCAAAAAUCAGGGAGGGAACUAUAAUUAAGGCUGCAAAAAUGUGGCCACAGAACAAGGACUAGGACUUGGAUAUAAGCAGGAUAAACAUUUCUGCCUCUUUAUAUUUAGUUGGCUUAGGACUUUGGCUGCUUGGUAUUUUAGAAGGAGCUGACCUAAAUGUUUUACAACAGCCUCUACUGAGCAACACUGGGCACUACCGUAAAGAUUGCUGGAAACGGACUUUAGAUUUCUGUAUUGACACAAAUAUGUCCACUUCUUUGAAUCUUUCCCCACAGUAAUUGGUUCUGCACUUCACACAGCUGAAAGCACAGGAGUUUGGACAAGGGAUUUUCCUAGCAAAUGGCAAAAUUUCAUCUGAACUGAUCCAGGCACCUCUAAAGGAGGAUACCAUCUGUGCCUACAUGUGAACCUAACCUUUUGCUCCCUAAAAAUAAAAUUGAUGGACUAAACCCUUCAUUUGCAGCUCUAAGUACAUAUUUUUGUGUCUACAAACAGGGGAAGUUACUCUUCUGGAAACUUUCCUUUGAGUGAAUGCAGAGAGCUUUGUUUCUUACUGAGCUAUAUAAAGCAUCAACCAUUGUCCCACAUUCAUACCUCACUUUCUUCUACACAAAAGAAAAAUUUACCCCCCAAAAUUGUCAUAUAUGCCACAUAUCUUCAAACAGAUGCAUAUAAGACCCAAUUUUAGUAUAGGUACUCACAUUUGGAUUGUUAAAUGAUAUUUUCAGCAAGCUAUACCAAUGUAUGUGUAGCAUUCCUCCUUUUCUUAGAGUCCAAGGAAAUACUGCAGAUACUGACCAAACUGUUGGUCUCUAUCUUAGAUCCAAAGAUGGGUGACAAGGCUGAUCCAAGAUCAAGAUCAAAGCUGAUCCAAGAUGUCUGGCACUCCCACUUUUUUAUCUCCUGUUGUUAUUAUAAGGUUUCAAAGUACUGAGAUCCUCACAGCAGACUCUUCCUCCAUUAGCUCCUCCUACCAGAGAGUUGUAUAGGAAGGAAAAGGAAGAGAAAGAAGAGAAGAGAUGCACAAGCAGACUCCGAUUUCCACUAGUCAGAGGAACCCGUGACCAAAAGUGACAGGAGUGAAAUGAAGGUUGAAUGUACAUUGGCAGGGAGAGCAUGAAUGGAAUACAGCAGACAGGACUGAAGAGGAAUUAAUUCUUGACCUUCAUGCGCUGUCCAGCAAAGAACAAUGUGAUUGCUUUUGAGGCCAUUGGGGACCAAAUGCUAAUGGUGGUCAAAGCAAAUUAAAAGUUUUAUUAAAAGACCCUCAUGUACCAUUUUGCCAUAGUAGGAUUACAGAGUCAGUGCUGUGCAGGAAAAUUUAGUAGGUAAUUCUCAUUAAGGGCCCAAACCUCAUUGACUUCUGGUGGAGUUUUGCCUGCUUAAGAAUUGAAGGAUCAGGCCUUAAGGUUGGGCCAGUUGAGCCCUAACCUAUACUUCUUUGUGCAAGUGAGUAACACCUACUAGCUUAAAAUAUCAGCAACUACUCAUGCAGAGAAGUCUCACAAGGCACUUAAUCCUAAAGUGAAACAUUUCAUUACCAAUGGACAGCAAUUUGCAUUCCUUUAAAAACCAUGCUAUUACAUUAUCUAUUUUCCCUCAUUAAAAAAGAUUGAGAAGUGCACACUCACACAGUGGCACACCCAGGGUUUCAAGACAGGAGUCCUGGAAGCCCAUUCAAAUAUGCAAUACGGGAGGCUGGAGGAGCACUGGCAAGUUCUAGCUCUUGAUGGAUCUAUGCUUCUCUAAUAAUAGUUGCAAUUUACUGAUAAUUAUCAAGAAGGGAAGUUGUUGUGGUUUUUCUUUGUUGAGCUGAUAAGAUGGUCAAGUAUUUUCUCCCUAGAUACUUGUAAAAGAUGAUGAGCAAUGAGAUUGUGAGCUGAUAAACUGUAAUUUUACUUACAUAAGGCAAAAUUAAGGCAUGUAGCUACUGACCUGACAAGGGAGAGAGAUAGAGACACACUGACUCAGGGGGAAUUUUAGAAAGGGCUGCAUGCCAGGGAAGCACAAUGCUUUCCAAACACCUUAUGAAGGGCUCACCACCCCUUAGUCUCACCCAUAGACCUGCCUCAACCUCCAUGCCAGUGUAGGGAUGUCCUAGGGGGUCAGCUUUCUGCUAUGUCACGUGUAGGUUGUAACUCUGUGAGAGAAUUUUUUCCUGGGCCAUGAAAGGCCUAAUUUUCCCUUCUAUCUUGUGUCCCAGCAUCUCCAGACAAAAGAGGGAACAGUGGUUAGAGCAUGAACUGGGAACUUGGUUCUGUUCCCUGUCUAGUCUAAGCAAGCCAUUCUCUCCUUGACUCAUCUCCCCAUCGCCAAAUGGGAAUAAUAAUGCUUCUCUGUCUAAAGGGUAGAGCUCUGAGGACAAGCAUGUUAUAGACUGAGGCAUGCAGGUACUAUAUAACCUAAAAUAGAUUGGUCCUUCAGAACGAAAAUGUAUAAGCACAAAGAAAAGAGUAUGUCUGUCCAUAUAUGCUACAUCUACUAGCAUAAGGUACCAGAAUCUAACAGAGUAUAUAUAUGUAGGUACCUUGUUUCUUUGUACAGUAGAACCCAUGUUCAUAUAUCCCAUAGACCAUUCAUAUUCAGACUUCUUGCAAUUUGCUUAGUUCACAAUGAGUUGCUGAGUCAAGGACACACCGUACAAGUGUUUUUCUUUGUGGCCGCUACUUAUAAGGGUCCCACUUUUUCAUUCACCUUGAGUACCUCAGCUGUCCUUCCCAGCUGUUUGUAGCCUUGUAGACUCCUGAUUGGUUCACAAACUAUAAACCUCACAAAGGACAAGGAACUUAUCUAGGAUUAUCUAGGAUCUCCUGUAUUCAUCUGUACUUAACAGUACAGAUUAUCUAGGAUCUCCUGUAUUUCAUCAGUAAUGAUUACUUGGAACCUACCCAACUGGGUCUGUAUGAUUUUUUUUUAAUUUUUAAGGUCAUGGAAAGGGGAAAAGAUGUAACAGAGAUACAGGCAAUGCCUGGGCAUUCAAAUCUACCACCAGAUAUUUCCUAUUCUUUUCUCUUAGUAGAAAAACUUAAUAGGAGAGGAGCAUAUCAGCAUUUGGAGCAGGUGCUCCUGGCACCACUGAGCUUGUGUUGCUGAUGCCAUACAAUCAGGGGGCCAUUGUGUUUAGAUGCUAACAUGCUGCAGAGCUGAACAUUCAAGACAGUGCUGAUUGGCUGGCCACCAGAGGGGACCAUGCCUCUCUUGGGAAAUCUUGUCCAGAAACCCCCUCCUUGCUUUGAAAAAAUAGAGCUAGAGCAUGUCUAUUCCAUUUUCAGUAGCAAGCCAGUCAGUGUUCCCUCCAGCAGUGCGCAAUGGAUCUUUAUCUUUCUCAUACCAGCUGCAUCAGCCAGUGCAUGGCUGCACAGGAAGGAUGGAUUUGGUCUGUUGGGUUUCUGCUCCUGCUAAAGAUAAUACAAAGGGUAAAUAGGUGCCUGGGGAACCUGUGUCUCUCUGUAGCACCUCAGCAGCUCCUGCUCCUGAGUAGGGUGAUAAGUAGGGUAAACAGCUGUCUUGGGAACUUGUGUUUCUCUUCACCCCUUGACCACAGAAUGUGGCACGUGAAACAUAUGGGCUUUCCUGGCCACAAAGUUGUCAGGGGGUGUGGUUGGCUCUGUGCUUCACAGAGUCCAUCCUGAGUCACUAAUUGUCUUUAGCAAUGUAUGUUUGGAUGCUGAAGGACAGCACUGUGGCUUCUCACAAGGGAAAAUAUACAAAUGUCUGUCCUACCAGGAGAAGUUCUCUCAAAGGAGAGAGCUACUGUAUGGGAGAAAGUACAUUUUUCUCCCAGAACUGCCAUUUUUUCUUGCAGGAAAAACCACAUCUGUAGACCUGUAUGCUUGCAGUUUCUAUUGGGAGAAUAAAGUUCCAAUAGAAAUUCAGUACCUGCACAUGGCCUAAGAGCAUACUGUUUUGAUUUAGCUUGGGGUUUUUUAAACACUUUAAACCAUAUCAUUCAUAAUCUAAAAAAAAUGUCCACCCACCAAUUUGCAACAAAAUAACAGAAGCUGUUAAAUGAAAAUAAUGAGUUAGUGUAAUGUCAAGUUGUAUGGGCCAAGCUCUGCAUAACAGAAAACUUAUCUCUUUCCAGAUGUUUGCCUUUUCAGACAACAACAGGGCAUUAGCCUCCACUUUAUCCUGUAGCGUGUUUGUUCCUAGAAUUUCCUCUCUCCCUUCACCUCUGUUCAACAUCUCUCAUCAGAGGCUAAUGCCCAAACUUAUUAUAGUUUGAUAUAGCAGCUUCACCUGCCACACUGAGGUAACAAAAUUUAGCCAGCAGGUCAACAACUGAAAAAGAGUGCAUGCCAAUAGAAAGCCUCCAUUCUGACUCAAGGCUGUCCUAAAUUAAGCUGGCUGCUAAUUCCCCAAAGAGCUAAUACACUAGCAAGGGACAAUGAAGCAUGGCAUUGACCUAACGCCAGAUCCUACCAGUAAUACCCACAUAAGUGACCUCAGAGGAAACUACUGUAGAAGUUGUCUAUCCUAACUUUGUGCUACACGGAUAAUUUGUGUUUGAUAUAGAAACCACAUGUUAUGUAUCUUUUAACCAUCCCCUGAUAAACUGUUUUGUGGACCAUGUGCAUAUAAUAACAUUAGCAAUGUCAACUCUUGAUGUUCGAUAUUAACAACAGUGGCAUUGCUGAGUUUUGCUAUUAGCAAGUAGGAAGAUCCCUCCUUCCCCAGAUUUUUGUUCUCCUUUUUCAGUCUGAACUUUGCUAUGUUAGUAUUUGGCAGUGGGACUGGGAGAUAUAUCACUCCAAGAAGCAAAGUCAAAUAUUUGAUUUAGAUGAUUACAAUGAAGAUAUCCCACCACGACAGUGGUACCUAGAUUACCAUCCCUUCACUUCUUUCUCAUGAUUUAUGUGCAUUUCUCUGUAAAUGCAAAAUGGACAGAGAAAUCAUCGUGUCUCUGCCUUAAAAAAAGGUUUUAAAGUUGAGCUUAAGAAUUACCUCUGAAUUUAAAGACAGGGAUUUAUAGAAGGUUUUAUCAAUAUAUUGUUUCCAUAUUUAUUAUUGUUUGUGUUUCUGUUUCUUUAUGUGUCAUAUCAUAAUGGAUAGAAAUGCAUACCAUGAAGCAGGACUCCUUCAUGAUAGUUACUCUUUAAGGAUGAUGUCUGGGAAGAAAUUUUUUAAGACUGGCAGUCACCAACAUUUUCUGGCAGCAGAGUGGAAUGACCCAGCUAGAAUUCAAGGUGUGCUGGCACCACCAUUUCUCCCUAUCACCUGGCUGUGGCAUGGAUGAAACUCCUCACCACCAGCCAGGGUGCCCCAAACUUCCAAGUGCUUCUGGAGCGCCCCCCCCUCCCCCCAGAAUGCCACCAAAGCCUCAUAGCACCAUGGGUCAGAUCCUACAGUUCCACAGGGCAUAGGUUGCCAACCCCUAAAACAAUUUCAAAAGAUGUACUAAAUUUACCAUAAAAGCAGGGAUUGCAUAUCUUUUUAGCUGGUUUUGAAGCAGGCUAGGAUGCUUGAAAAUACAAGCAAACUUUGGUAUUCUCAGAAGCCUAAAUGAUUAAUAAUAAAGAAAUAUUUUAAAAAUACACAUAUCCCUAUAAUACAUAAGCAGUCAUAGGUAAAAAAAGAAACAAUAAAAAAUGGAAUUUUAAGGCAUGUCAGGCUAAGAAGGUAUGGAUCUGAAUAUAAAGAUUAAAAAUUUAGAUACAGAUAGAUUCCAGGUCUCAGAGGAUGAGUUGGUCAUUUAAUUCAGAUUUUUCCUGUUUGGCUUCUGGGUUAGUUCUGACUGUAUCUUUAAAAUUUCCUUAGUCCUACAAGAAAAGAAUGAGAAAUAUGUAUUUCUUUUGCCUAGUAAAGGAAGAUGAUACAUAGAUGAAUUAUAUGAAAAAAACAAUUAUGUAACAGGCAUGUAACGUUAGUUUAUUA